rnacentral:rRNA from 1 species
UACAGAGGUCCCAAGCGUUGUUCGGAUUCACUGGGCGUAAAGGGUGCGUAGGUGGUCGGGUAAGUCUGACGUGAAAUCUCCGGGCCUAACUCGGAAACUGCGUUGGAUACUAUCCGGCUCGAGGAAUGGAGGGGAGACUGGAAUACUUGGUGUAGCAGUGAAAUGCGUAGAUAUCAAGUGGAACACCAGUGGCGAAGGCGGUUACCUGGACAGUUACUGACGCUCAGGCACGAAAGCGUGGGGAGCAAAAGGG